rnacentral:rRNA from 1 species
GGCGAACGGGUGAGUAACACGUGGGCAAUCUGCCCUUCACUCUGGGACAAGCCCUGGAAACGGGGUCUAAUACCGGAUACGAGUCCGGGAGGCAUCUCCCGGGCUGGAAAGCUCCGGCGGUGAAGGAUGAGCCCGCGGCCUAUCAGCUUGUUGGUGGGGUAAUGGCCUACCAAGGCGACGACGGGUAGCCGGCCUGAGAGGGCGACCGGCCACACUGGGACUGAGACACGGCCCAGACUCCUACGGGAGGCAGCAGUGGGGAAUAUUGCACAAUGGGCGAAAGCCUGAUGCAGCGACGCCGCGUGAGGGAUGACGGCCUUCGGGUUGUAAACCUCUUUCAGCAGGGAAGAAGCGAGAGUGACGGUACCUGCAGAAGAAGCGCCGGCUAACUACGUGCCAGCAGCCGCGGUAAUACGUAGGGCGCAAGCGUUGUCCGGAAUUAUUGGGCGUAAAGAGCUCGUAGGCGGCUUGUCACGUCGGGUGUGAAAGCCCGGGGCUUAACCCCGGGUCUGCAUCCGAUACGGGCAGGCUAGAGUGUGGUAGGGGAGAUCGGAAUUCCUGGUGUAGCGGUGAAAUGCGCAGAUAUCAGGAGGAACACCGGUGGCGAAGGCGGAUCUCUGGGCCAUUACUGACGCUGAGGAGCGAAAGCGUGGGGAGCGAACAGGAUUAGAUACCCUGGUAGUCC